AUACGUAGGUGGCAAGCGUUAUCCGGAUUUAUUGGGCGUAAAGAGAGUGCAGGCGGUUUGUUAAGUCUGAUGUGAAAGCCUUCGGCUCAACCGAAGAAGUGCAUUGGAGACUGAUAAACUUGAGUGCAGAAAAGGACAGUGGAACUCCAUGUGUAGCGGUGAAAUGCGUAGAUAUAUGGAAGAACACCAGUGGCGAAGGCGACUGUCUGGUCUGUAACUGACGCUGAGACUCGAAAGCAUGGGUAGCGAACAGGAUUAGAUACCCUGGUAGUCCAUGCCGUAAACGAUGAAUGCUAAGUGUUGGAGGGUUUCCGCCCUUCAGUGCUGCAGCUAACGCAUUAAGCAUUCCGCCUGGGGAGUACGACCGCAAGGUUGAA
rnacentral:rRNA from 1 species